rnacentral:tRNA from 1 species
GCUUGUGAAGCUCAACCGGUUGAGCGAAAUAUUGAAGCUAUUUAGGUUGUAAGUUCGAAUCUUAUCACGAGCA